rnacentral:misc_RNA from 1 species
UUUCCGUAGGUGAACCUGCGGAAGGAUCAUUACCGAGUGAGGGUCUCUCAGGCCCGACCUCCCACCCUGUGUUUUUGUGACCUUGUUGCUUUCGCGGGUCCGCCUCGAUGGGAGGCCGCCGGAAGCUCACCGCUUUGGGCCCGUGCCCGCCCGUAGCCCCCAUAAAUUCUUAAUAAACCUGUUGUCUGGGUCUAGAUAUAAUAAAAAAAACUUUCAACAACGGAUCCCUUGGUUCUG